CUGCAACCUCCUCAUCGAGAUGACCUGUACCUUCGUGAGCCGUGAGGGUGUGAUGAAGGGGCUGCAAGGAGAAACCCAAGAGAUCUUGGGAAGAAUCAGGCUGAGCAUUUCCACCGUGGAGAAGUUCUUCCAGUCCUACAGCACUUACUGCUCUGACCCGAUUCCCACCUUGCUCCAGGAGGAGCUACAGCUCUGGAAACUUCCUCCCUUCCUUCUGUUCAGGAGAAUGGACUCCUUCUUGCAGAG